rnacentral:misc_RNA from 1 species
GUGAAUCAUCAAAUUUUUGAACGCAAAUUGCACUCUCUGGUAUCCCGGAGAGUAUGCCUGUUUGAGGGUCAGUUUUAAUAAAAAUUGGUGUGGUUGCUGCCUUUCGUGGUGACGGACCGGAGUUGGGUCGUCACGUCUUCGGUUAAGUGACCUAAAAUUUACCAUGAUUUUUUUUGAUUGUAUUUACAUGAUUUUACGUAAGUUUGCGAUAUUGAAUACUAGGUUUGGUUUAUCUCAUG